UGAAGAACUUGGAGAACUUGCUGGUGGUACUCUCAAGAGACCAUGGCCUUGGAAACUUUGGGAAGCUGCAUUUGGGGUAGAUGGCGGCCUGAGAGAAGAUUGCACUGGUCUCUGCAACAUUUGAGAACUAGAACCACUUGGUCCCAACAUUCCCAAUCCCUGCAUUCCUUGCAUAGGAGGUCUCACCUGAGAAGGAUUUGCAUUAG
rnacentral:misc_RNA from 1 species